rnacentral:misc_RNA from 1 species
GGAACUUGCGAAUCCUAUUAUUAUCAACCCUAGAAGCCACGAUACGAAUCUACGAUAAAAAUAGUACUAUCAGCAUCUAAAAAUCGAUCUGAAGCGAUCUUGGAAUAUCUACGUGAGUCUAUUAAAGAAGCUUUAUCUCUAGCAACAAAAGGUUAAAUAAAUCAAGGAAGAUGAUCAAACAGCGUAUCAGUCACCUCCACGUUCAUGGUAGAAACUUUACUUCUAUUUUAGAAGUUGUCAUGUAGAAUCCAGUGAUCCAUCGGUAUCAUCGUUCAGAAACGAAGAAUCGAAAAGAGCAAACGACGGCAACGCCGAACAGACACGUGCUGCACCGAAACACGUUUCGUCGUUCCGCUUCGGUAUCGAUUGCUGAUAGAGAGGCUACGAGGGCUAACGGUCAUAAUAUUUAAGCCAAUAACCGCGUACAAUCCGAUUAUCCCGAUAGACGACCGUAAAAAUUUCAUUGUUACGUACUGUCAAUCGACAUGCCGUGCUCGUUCACCAUCAACGUGCGUCUACGCACUUGCCGGUCUGUUCGGCUCUUGCACAACUUAACAGCGAUACUCGUCAGACACUCUUAUAUAUCGUUCGAUUCACUAUACAAUAAACUUUGAAUAAAAUCCUCGACAAAUACAAUUCAAAUAGAACACAACAAAUUCACGUGUAAUCACUUUUUCAAAUUAAAUCCACGAUCCGAUUAUAGACACCGAAGUUAUUGAUUCAAUCUUGCGCAAAAUCUUGCAAUUCGAUUUAUAGACUUUAUCAUAAUCUUUGCUAUAGCAGGAAAAAUCGUUGGAAUCACAAUCGAUUUAUACACUUUACUAUAUCCUUUACUAUCGCACGGAUAAUCCUUGAAAUCACGAUAUUCUUCAACACGGUCGUAUAACCACGGAACGUCAGGUUCGCGUAAACGACUCGGUAUAAUUGAGACUAUCUGAGACGAUAAUUUAAUAAGCGGUUGGUUGAAAGGACACGCGGACCAACCUCGACUACUUAACAACCACAAACUCUCUCGUCAUGCUUUAUUUCCAGUGUGCGGCGCCGCGUACGAAUGGUAACUGACGUGUGCAAACCGUGCCGCGGAUAUUACGCCAUGAAAUUCAGAAACGGGCCAACGUGCCGCCACGGCGGUCGCUUCACUUUUCCUCGUCAAAUCUAUAUUUAGUGCAAAUUCGAUCGACAACCAAGCAGUCUGAGGGAGCGAGGGCCACGAUUCGGUGCGGGGUUGGCGAAUGCAACCCCUUUUCGAAACGAGAACAUACCGCGGUGGCGUGCAAG